rnacentral:rRNA from 1 species
UACAGAGGGGGCAAGCGUUGUUCGGAAUUACUGGGCGUAAAGGGCGCGUAGGCGGCCUGCUAAGUCGAACGUGAAAUCCCUGGGCUCAACCCAGGAACUGCGUCCGAUACUGGUUGGCUUGAAUCCGGGAGAGGGAUGUGGAAUUCCAGGUGUAGCGGUGAAAUGCGUAGAUAUCUGGAGGAACACCGGUGGCGAAGGCGACAUCCUGGACCGGUAGUUGACGCUGAGGCGCGAAAGCCAGGGAGCAAACGGG